rnacentral:rRNA from 1 species
GAUGAACGCUGGCGGCGUGCCUAAUACAUGCAAGUCGAGCGAACAGACGAGGAGCUUGCUCCUCUGACGUUAGCGGCGGACGGGUGAGUAACACGUGGAUCACCUACCUAUAAGACUGGUAAAUUUAGGGAAACCGGGCUAAAAUCCGGUAGAAUCUCUUGAACCGCGGGGUGCAUUGGAAAAGUUCGGUUUUUGGGGAUGUACUCGCGGCGUCUCAGCUUGUUGGUAAGGUAGUGACUUAACAAGGUGACGAUGGGUAGCCGGCGUGAGAGGGUGAUCGGCCACACGGGAACUGAGACACGGUCCAGACUCCUACGGGAGGCAGCAGUAGGGAAUCGUCCGCAAUGGGCGAAAGCCUGACGGAGCAACGCCGCGUGAGUGAUGAAGGUCUUCGGUGCGUAAAACUCUGUUAUUAGGGAAGAACAAAUGUGGAAGUAACUAUGCACGUCUUGACGGUACCUAAUCAGAAAGCCCCGGCUAACUACGUG